UCCGAUCCCAUUGCUCCACUGUCACUGUAUUUGAGCUUG
rnacentral:SRP_RNA from 1 species